rnacentral:rRNA from 1 species
AGAUAUGAUCCAGAGUACCACGGGACACGUGAAACCCUGUGGGAAGCAGGAGGGACCACCCUCCAAGGCUAAAUACUACCUAGUGACCGAUAGCGUAUAGUACCGUGAGGGAAAGGUGAAAAGAACCCCGGGAGGGGAGUGAAAUAGAACCUGAAACCCUGCACUUACAAGCUGUGGAAGCACAUUUCUUGUGUGACCGCGUACUUUUUGUAGAACGGGCCAACGAGUUACGUUAAGUAGCAAGGUUAAGCACUUAAGGUGCGGAGCCGUAGCGAAAGCGAGUUUUAACUGAGCGUUCAGUUACUGGACGUAGACCCGAAACCGGGCGACCUACCCAUGAGCAGGAUGAAGCGAAAGUAAAAUUUCGUGGAGGUCCGAACCCACGAGCGUUGAAAAGCUCGGGGAUGACUUGUGGGUAGCGGUGAAAUUCCAAUCGAGCCCGGAGAUAGCUGGUUCUCCCCGAAAUAGCUUUAGGGCUAGCCUCAAGGUGA